ACAUGCAGUCGAGCGAAUCUUUGGGAGCUUGCUCCCAUUGGUUAGCGGCGGACGGGUGAGUAACACGUGGGCAACCUGCCUGUAAGACUGGGAUAACUUCGGGAAACCGGAGCUAAUACCGGAUAAUUCUUUUCCUCUCAUGAGGAAAAGCUGAAAGUCGGUUUACGCUGACACUUACAGAUGGGCCCGCGGCGCAUUAGCUAGUUGGUGAGGUAACGGCUCACCAAGGCGACGAUGCGUAGCCGACCUGAGAGGGUGAUCGGCCACACUGGGACUGAGACACGGCCCAGACUCCUACGGGAGGCAGCAGUAGGGAAUCUUCCACAAUGGACGAAAGUCUGAUGGAGCAACGCCGCGUGAGCGAUGAAGGCCUUCGGGUCGUAAAGCUCUGUUGUUAGGGAAGAACAAGUACCGGAGUAACUGCCGGUACCUUGACGGUACCUAACCAGAAAGCCACGGCUAACUACGUGCCAGCAGCCGCGGUAAUACGUAGGUGGCAAGCGUUGUCCGGAAUUAUUGGGCGUAAAGCGCGCGCAGGCGGUCCUUUAAGUCUGAUGUGAAAGCCCACGGCUCAACCGUGGAGGGUCAUUGGAAACUGGGGGACUUGAGUGCAGAAGAGGAAAGCGGAAUUCCACGUGUAGCGGUGAAAUGCGUAGAGAUGUGGAGGAACACCAGUGGCGAAGGCGGCUUUCUGGUCUGUAACUGACGCUGAGGCGCGAAAGCGUGGGGAGCAAACAGGAUUAGAUACCCUGGUAGUCCACGCCGUAAACGAUGAGUGCUAAGUGUUAGGGGGUUUCCGCCCCUUAGUGCUGCAGCUAACGCAUUAAGCACUCCGCCUGGGGAGUACGGCCGCAAGGCUGAAACUCAAAUGAAAUUUGACGGG
rnacentral:rRNA from 1 species